AUGUGGGACUUUGUGCAAGUCGUCGUGGUGGCGAUACGUGUCCUGGAGAUUAGAUUUGGCAGUUGGGAGCUUCGGCAGGUCCCAGUUGGAGGAUGCUACCGUCUUAUAGACAUUCCAAUGAGCAAUUGCAUCAACAGCAAUAUAAACAAGAUUUUUGUACUGACGCAGUUUAAUUCUGCUUCUCUCAAUCGUCACAUUGCUCGCACCUAUUUUGGAAAUGGUAUCAACUUUGGGGAAGGAUUUGUAGAGGUUCUGGCAGCCACUCAAACGCCUGGGGAAGCAGGAAUGAAUUGGUUCCAAGGAACAGCAGAUGCUGUGAGGCAAUUUAUAUGGGUAUUUGAGGAUGCCAAAAACAGGGAUGUUGAGAAUGUACUGAUUUUGUGUGGCGAUCAUCUUUACCGAAUGGAUUAUACGGACUUUGUGCAGAGUCACGUUGAUAGAAAUGCUGAUAUUACAAUUUCAUGUGCCGCAGUGGGUGACAGGUCUACUUACAUGACUGCAUUAAUGAAUAAUAUAUCUCAGACAUAAGUUUUACCCUUCUUGGUUGACAUUCUGCAGCAAACAGAUACCACGCUUCUGGGAUUGUCCCCACAAGAUGCCAUGAAAUCCCCAUAUGUUGCAUCAAUGGGUGUUUAUGUAUUUAAGACAGAAAUUUUGCUAAAUCUUCUGAGGUGGCGAUAUCCAACAUCAAACGACUUCGGGUCUGAAAUCAUUCCUGCAGCAGUGAGAGAGCACAAAGUUCAAGCAUAUAUGUUCAGAGAAUACUGGGAGGACAUUGGAACUAUAAAGUCUUUCUAUGAUGCUAACUUGGCCCUCACUGAAGAGGUAGAUUUCAUUUUCUAUGACCCAAAGACACCUAUCUUCACCUCUCCUCGAUUCUUACCACCAACCAAGAUUGACAAGUGCCGGAUUGUGGAUGCAAUAAUAUCACAUGGAUGUUUCUUGCGAGAAUGUAGUGUCCAGCAUUCAAUUGUAGGUGAACGUUCACGAUUGGAUUAUGGGGUUGAGCUGAAGGAUGCUAUAAUGAUGGGUGCAGACUAUUACCAAACUGAAACUGAAAUUGCAUCUCUGCUUGCGGAGGGGAAGGUCCCAGUUGGUAUUGGAAGGAAUACAAAGAUUAGGAAUUGUAUAAUUGAUAAGAAUGCAAAGAUAGGGAAGGACGCAGUGAUCGUGAACAAAGAUGGGGUUCGAGAAGCAGAUAGGCCAGAAGAGGGAUUUUACAUUCGUGAGGGAAUCACAAUUAUUCUGGAGAAGGCAACAAUACAAGAUGGCAUGGUUAUAUGAUGGAUCUCAACAUCUCAAGUACUUUUCAAGCACAGUUGAAAAAUGGUGGUGGGAAAGAGACUUGCAAACGUUUGGAUCUUAACAUCUCAAGUGCAUUUGGCAGCUGAGGAGUAUAGCUUCUGCAGCAUUUUGCCUUUUAAACUAGAAAAAUCCUUCAGUACUUGUAAAAAUGGAGUUUAUAAGCUUAUAAGAGUUCUAGAGUCACGAGAUGUACAAAAAUAAGCUACAGCAGCUGACCCGCCGCCGGCUGCUUUCAUCCUUCGUGGAGGUGAUAUAUCCAUAAGAACCUAUGAACUUUCUGUAUCAAUAUUGAUUAUGAAUAAUGUUUGAAACAUAGUUGUAUCUCAGAAAAAGAAAAAGCAUUUUAUUUAACUUGUGGA